rnacentral:rRNA from 1 species
UACAGAGGGUGCAAGCGUUAAUCGGAAUUACUUGGCGUAAAGCGCACGCAGGCGGUUGGUUAAGUCAGAUGUGAAAGCCCCGGGCUCAACCUGGGAAUUGCAUUUGAAACUGGCCAACUAGAGUACGUGAGAGGGGGGUAGAAUUCCAAGUGUAGCGGUGAAAUGCGUAGAGAUUUGGAGGAAUACCAGUGGCGAAGGCGGCCCCCUGGCACAACACUGACGCUCAGGUGCGAAAGCGUGGGGAGCAAACAGG